GGGAGAACAGUGCAAGAUAUUCUGAGAGACAGAGAGAAUGACCAGUUACAUAACUUUUAUUACAAAAAUCUGCUCCCUAAACAGCACAGAUUGAAUCACCUGAGGAUAUGUGACUUCCGAAAACCCUUACCACCAGGGAGCCUGGGUGACUCCGUGAGUUAAGCAGCCCAACUCUGGUUUCAGCUCAAGAUCUCAUGGAUUGUAGGAUCAAGCUCUUUGUAGCAGCUGGCUCCUCACUCAUCAUGGAGUCUCC
rnacentral:lncRNA from 1 species